rnacentral:lncRNA from 1 species
AUUAAGUUUCGUGACCCAUCAAGUGUUGGUGUGGCCCAGCAUCUAACUAACACGGUUUUUAUUGACAGAGCUCUGAUAGUAGUUCCUUGUGCAGAAGGUUGGUAUCUUAUGGUUUUUUUUUUCUUAUUGUUUUAAUAUCUGUCCUGUCUGUUACUAUAGCCUUUAGCUUUCCUGGAAAUUGGCCAGUACUCUAUGUGUGAGUCUGUCUGUGCACACUCAUAUUGGUGUGUGUGAAAACGAGAAUGAAAUUUAAAGAAAAAAACACCUGUGGAAAAUUGUACUGAAGUGCUUAGUUUAUUAUUUUUGGAUAUUUGAGAUUUUGCAACUGAACAUUUAGAAAAUUUAUCAAAUAUUUGCCUACUAUAGUUUGCUUUGGCUUUUCUGUAGCCAGUUUUUGAAAAAUACUCAGUUUGUUCUUUCAAAUAUCCUCUUAAGGUAGUUUCUCUCAAUUGUUACGAGACUAUUAUUUCAUAUUCAGUGUUAUUUUUGUUAUACACCUAAAACUUUUUUCUUCGAUUGGCUUACUGGAUAGGGUAACUGGAAAGCAGUUUUUAAAGCCUCCAUCGGAGAGUGAGAUCAGAGAUGGGAGCAAAGCCCAAAGUCUUCUGGUUACUUGUUAAAUUUUACGUCUUGCCUUGCUGUAAGAGCUAAUUAUUAUUAAAAAUUUUAUGUUUUUCCAGAAACAUUCAUAUAUAAUUGGCUGUUGAUUUUGACAAUUUUAAUGUACAGUUAACUUAGAGUACUGACUGGCUUAUACAUACAUUUUAAUUUUUUUUUUUUUUUUUUUUGCUAGAUGAUAGUAACUAUUUUGUAGCAUAAAAGUAUGGUAGAAAAAAUUUAAUGGACUUUUUAUAUGUGAUUUUUAAAACUUGUUGUAGUUACUAGGUUUACAUUAAAAUCAUGAGCUCAUCUGGAUUUUGCUGUACUUUGGGAGUUUUAUGCUUGUUUCAGAAUGCCUGUUUUGGAAUAUUAGGAGCAUUAUAAAAUAAAGCUCCUCCCAGAAUGUUAAUUUUGAAAUCCCAGAACAGGAAGUUCUGGUUUCUUUUUUCUCCCCCAGAUGAAUUGGACAGCAUAUUUCUUGUGUUUGCGGGGUAGAGUAGACAGGGAAGACAAACGUGCUGAAAAGGAAACGAUUUGCCAAUAGAUUCUGGUCUUAAGAGCACCGUGAGCCCCGAGUUGGGGAGUAAGGUGAGAGAGGAAGAAGUUUUAAUUCUACAGAGUUCCAUGCUAUGAAAGUGCCCAGGAAAAACCCUAAACUGGAAAUAGCAGAAAAGUGUAUAGUGUAGGCUUCUGUCCUUACUGACUUGG